GAUGAACGCUAGCGGCAGGCCUAAUACAUGCAAGUCGAACGGUAACAGGGUAGCAAUACUGCUGACGAGUGGCAGACGGGUGCGUAACACGUAUGUAACCUGGUUCCAACAGGGAAAUAGCCUUGAGAAAUCGAGAUUAAUGUCCCAUAGUUUGCAGGGGUGGCAUCACCUUUGUAAUAAAGCUCCGGCGGUUGGAAAUGGACAUGCGUCCCAUUAGCUAGUUGGUGAGGGAAUGGCUCACCAAGGCCACGAUGGGGAGGGGGUCUGGGAGGAUGAUCCCCCACACUGGUACUGAGAGACGGACCAGACUCCUACGGGAGGCAGCAGUAGGGAAUAUUGGUCAAUGGAGGCAACUCUGAACCAGCCAUGCCGCGUGCAGGAAGAAUGCCCUAUGGGUUGUAAACUGCUUUUUUACGGGAAUAAAAUGCUCUUGCGAGAGUCACUGAAGGUACCGUAAGAAUAAGCCUCGGCUAACUACGUGCCAGCCGCCGCAGUAACAC
rnacentral:rRNA from 1 species